rnacentral:rRNA from 1 species
UGGCGAACGGGUGAGUAAAGCAUCGGAACGUACCAGUUGUGGGGGAUAACGUAGCGAAAGUUACGCUAAUACCGCAUACGCACUGAGGUGGAAAGCGGGGGACCUUUGGGCCUCGCGCAAUUGGAGCGGCCGAUGUCGGAUUAGCUAGUUGGUGAGGUAAAAGCUCACCAAGGCGACGAUCCGUAGCUGGUCUGAGAGGAUGAUCAGCCACACUGGGACUGAGACACGGCCCAGACUCCUACGGGAGGCAGCAGUGGGGAAUUUUGGACAAUGGGCGAAAGCCUGAUCCAGCCAUGCCGCGUGAGUGAAGAAGGCCUUCGGGUUGUAAAGCUCUUUCAGACGGAAAGAAAUAGCCUCGGUGAAUAUCCGAGGUUGAUGACGGUACCGUAAGAAGAAGCACCGGCUAACUACGUGCCAGCAGCCGCGGUAAUACGUAGGGUGCGAGCGUUAAUCGGAAUUACUGGGCGUAAAGCGUGCGCAGGCGGUUACAUAAGACAGAUGUGAAAUCCCCGGGCUUAACCUGGGAACUGCGUUUGUGACUGUGUGACUAGAGUACGGUAAGGGGGGUGGAAUUCCUGGUUGUAGCAGUGAAAUGCGUAG